ensembl:lncRNA
CCUUGUGGUAGUGUUUGUUUUUACUGUGUGUAUUAUUACAUUAUUUCUGUGGGUUUAUCAUGUUGUUGUGAGUAUGUGUCAGUAUGUGUUUAUCUCUGCAUGUGUUUAGGUGUGGGGGUGUGGGUUCAUGUGUGCAUGUGCGUUCACUUCAGUCUGCGUGUGUUUGUGUGUGUUUGUUGAUCUAAGUGUUUGUCUGUUUGCUUUUAUCUCAGCCUGUGCUUGCUGUUUAUUUGUCUGCAUGUGUAUAUUUGUGUGUUCAUCCAUGUAUGUGUGGGUGUGUGUGUGCGCGUGGUCUUGUGUGUGUUUCUUACCUAUGAGAGCGUGGUAUGUAUGUGUGUGUGUGUGUGUGUGUGUGUGUGUGUGUGUGUGCGUGCGUGCGUUUGUGCGUGCGUGCGUGCGUGCGUGCGUGCGUGUGUGUGUGUGUGUGUGUGUGUGUGUGUGUGAGGCCUACAUUUGAGUGUCCUGGGUCUGGUCUGGCUCCGACACCAGCUGCUGGGGUAUCUCUAAUUAUAGCAGGCUCCCAGGGUUGGGUUCAGGGUAGAGUUACACCCCCACUUACAGUUCACAUACACAAGUAUACAUCGCAAACAUUCAGGAAGAAAACAAUCAACACUUACUCCAAAGUGUUUAAAACAUCAACUUCCCCGAUUUUUAAUAAUGUUUCCCUUUGCGUUUGACAUCCAGUAACUGAAACCCAAGGAAUAUGUUGAGGGCUCCAUGGGUGCAGUACCGCCAUGGUUAACUUCAGAGCGUAAAGCCCGGAUAUCUGAUUCGACACACAGUCCUCACAGGCUGUCUCUAUCACAUGGACGGUAGCGGCUGACCCAGCCUUUUCCUUUGCUGUGGCGAAUGGUGAGCCAACACUUGGAGAUACACUUGUUUCUAUGGUAACACGUGGUUUCCGGCAACUCUAAAGGUCGCUCGUUAAUUUGAAAUUUGAACGACCUCAACAUAGUAAGUAUCCAAUUGAAUCGUGUCGAGAACUAAACGAUGAAGUGAGAAAAAGUUUGUUAUCAUAGAUGAAAUACAUGUAUUUCUGAUUCAAAAAACAGCAUUACUCCAAGUGAAUGUGAUUAGAGAUUAUGGUAUAAUGUGUUUAUGUCAUAUAUUUAUGUGAUUGUUUAGCAAUUGUGUAUAUAUUUCACAGAGACAGUCUAUGACAUUCCUUAAAUGUAAAUAUCCUCCUUGCACACCUUACUACCUUUAAACAAGCUUGGUUCAAAUCAACAUUGCCAUUUAAGCCAGGCACAAACACAAGUAAACGCAUAAUGUGCAAUGUUUUACCAAAUAGUGUCUAGCUGCUUUGUGACCCAAUGAAGCAUAACAACAAAGCAGCUAGCGUUGAUGUUCAUCUCAGACCAUUAUCUGAGUUAAAUCUUUCAAAUAAUC